rnacentral:rRNA from 1 species
AGGACGAACGCUGGCGGCGUGCCUAACACAUGCAAGUCGAACGAGGUCCAACCAGUGGCAACACUGGGGACGACCGAGUGGCGAACGGGUGAGUAACACGUGAGGAACCUGCCCCGAAGACCGGGAUAACCCUCCGAAAGGAGAGCUAAUACCGGAUGUCCCCACCAGAUCGCAUGAUCAGGUGAGGAAAUGGAUUCCGCUUCGGGAGGGCCUCGCGGCCUAUCAGCUAGUUGGUGAGGUAACGGCCCACCAAGGCAUCGACGGGUAGCUGGUCUGAGAGGACGAUCAGCCACACUGGGACUGAGACACGGCCCAGACUCCUACGGGAGGCAGCAGUGGGGAAUCUUGCGCAAUGGGCGAAAGCCUGACGCAGCAACGCCGCGUGGGGGAUGAAGGCUCGUCGGGUUGUAAACCCCGUUUCGAGUUAGGACGAAUUCGAGACGGUACUACGAGAAGAAGCCCGGCCAACGUACGUGCCAGCAGCCGC